GCGAACGGGUGAGUAACACGUGGGCAAUCUGCCCUGCACUCUGAGGACAAGCCCUGGAAACGGGGUCUAAUACCGGAUAUGACCAUCUUGGGCAUCCUUGAUGGUGUAAAGCUCCGGCGGUGCAGGAUGAGCCCGCGGCCUAUCAGCUUGUUGGUGAGGUAACGGCUCACCAAGGCGACGACGGGUAGCCGGCCUGAGAGGGCGACCGGCCACACUGGGACUGAGACACGGCCCAGACUCCUACGGGAGGCAGCAGUGGGGAAUAUUGCACAAUGGGCGAAAGCCUGAUGCAGCGACGCCGCGUGAGGGAUGACGGCCUUCGGGUUGUAAACCUCUUUCAGCAGGGAAGAAGCGAAAGUGACGGUACCUGCAGAAGAAGCGCCGGCUAACUACGUGCCAGCAGCCGCGGUAAUACGUAGGGCGCAAGCGUUGUCCGGAAUUAUUGGGCGUAAAGAGCUCGUAGGCGGCUUGUCACGUCGGUUGUGAAAGCCCGGGGCUUAACCCCGGGUCUGCAGUCGAUACGGGCAGGCUAGAGUUCGGUAGGGGAGAUCGGAAUUCCUGGUGUAGCGGUGAAAUGCGCAGAUAUCAGGAGGAACACCGGUGGCGAAGGCGGAUCUCUGGGCCGAUACUGACGCUGAGGAGCGAAAGCGUGGGGAGCGAACAGGAUUAGAUACCCUGGUAGUCCA
rnacentral:rRNA from 1 species